UACGUAGGGUGCGAGCGUUAAUCGGAAUUACUGGGCGUAAAGCGUGCGCAGGCGGCUCUGCAAGACAGAUGUGAAAGCCCCGGGCUUAACCUGGGAAUGGCAUUUGGGACUGCAAGGCUUGAGUGCGGCAGAGGAGACUGGAAUUCCUGGUGUAGCAGUGAAAUGCGUAGAUAUCAGGAGGAAUACCGAUGGCGAAGGCAGGUCUCUGGGCUGACACUGACGCUCAUGCACGAAAGCGUGGGGAGCAAACAGG
rnacentral:rRNA from 1 species